rnacentral:tRNA from 1 species
UCCCCGAUAGCUCAGUUGGUAGAGCGAGCGGCUGUUAACCGCUUUGUCCGAGGUUCGAGUCCUCGUCGGGGAG